rnacentral:rRNA from 1 species
GACGUACGCUGGCGGCGUGCUUAACACAUGCAAGUCGAACGAUGAAGCUGGAGCUUGCUCCGGUGGAUUAGUGGCGAACGGGUGAGUAACACGUGAGCAAUCUGCCCUUGACUCUGGGAUAACUGCGGGAAACUGUAGCUAAUACCGGAUACUUUCACUGGAAGGCAUCUUCUGGUGAUGAAAGAAUUUCGGUCAAGGAUGAGCUCGCGGCCUAUCAGCUUGUUGGUGAGGUAACGGCUCACCAAGGCGACGACGGGUAGCCGGCCUGAGAGGAUGACCGGCCACACUGGGACUGAGACACGGCCCAGACUCCUACGGGAGGCAGCAGUGGGGAAUAUUGCACAAUGGGCGCAAGCCUGAUGCAGCAACGCCGCGUGAGGGAUGAAGGCCUUCGGGUUGUAAACCUCUUUUAGCAGGGAAGAAGCGAAAGUGACGGUACCUGCAGAAAAAGCACCGGCUAACUACGUGCCAGCCGCCGCCGUAA